CCCAGAUUUUUAGCAAAUCCUCAUGACAUAGAAAUGUUUUUAAAAAUGAUUCGUUGGACACAGCAAUUGGAGAAGACUUCGUCAUGGCGGAGCCUUGAUGUUAGACUUAUUAGAUAUGACAUGGAAGGACAUUGUGGAGAAUUAAAAUUCAAUACGGACAACUACUGGAGAUGCAUUAUUCGACAUUUUAUAAUAUCGGGAUGUCAUCCAUCAAGUUCGUGUAGGAUGGGUUCAAAAAGAGAUCCAACUGCAGUUGUAGAUCCUACAUUAAGGGUAAAAGGUAUAAAAAAUCUGAGAGUAGUUGAUGCAUCUGUCAUGCGCAAUGUUAUAUCUGGUAAUACUAAUUCACCAACGAUGAUGAUUGCAGAAAAGGCAGCUGUUAUGAUAAAAUGUGGAACCAAAUAUUAAAAUCUAACAAUUACUGAAGGAUGUGUACCAAACGUAAUGUUUACGGUCACGUUAAUUUAAAGAUGUGUUUGUAACUGACAACUGAAAGUAGAAUGCACUAUAUGUUCUUA